GACGAACGCUGGCGGCGUGCUUAACACAUGCAAGUCGAGCGAUGAAGUUCCUUCGGGAGUGGAUUAGCGGCGGACGGGUGAGUAACACGUGGGUAACCUGCCUCAUAGAGGGGAAUAGCCUUUCGAAAGGAAGAUUAAUACCGCAUAAGAUUGUAGUACCGCAUGGUACAGCAAUUAAAGGAGUAAUCCGCUAUGAGAUGGACCCGCGUCGCAUUAGCUAGUUGGUAAGGUAACGGCUCACCAAGGCGACGAUGCGUAGCCGACCUGAGAGGGUGAUCGGCCACAUUGGGACUGAGACACGGCCCAGACUCCUACGGGAGGCAGCAGUGGGGAAUAUUGCACAAUGGGGGAAACCCUGAUGCAGCAACGCCGCGUGAGUGAUGACGGUCUUCGGAUUGUAAAGCUCUGUCUUCAGGGACGAUAAUGACGGUACCUGAGGAGGAAGCCACGGCUAACUACGUGCCAGCCGCCGCCGUAAGAC
rnacentral:rRNA from 1 species